UGAGGAAUAUUGGUCAAUGGUCGCUAGACUGAACCAGCCAAGUAGCGUGCGGGAUGAAGGCCCUCCGGGCCGUAAACCGCUUUUAGACGGGGAUAAAAGGGCGUACGUGUACGCCGUAUUGCAUGUACCGUCAGAAAAAGGACCGGCUAAUUCCGUGCCAGCAGCCGCGGUAAUACGGAAGGUCCGGGCGUUAUCCGGAUUUAUUGGGUUUAAAGGGAGCGUAGGCGGACUUUCAAGUCAGUGGUAAAAUCGUGUGGCUCAACCAUACCUCGCCAUUGAAACUGGAAGUCUGGAGUGCACACAGGGGUGCCGGAAUUCAUGGUGUAGCGGUGAAAUGCUUAGAUAUCAUGAAGAACUCCGAUCGCGAAGGCAAGUGCCCGGGGUGCAACUGACGCUGAGGCUCGAAGGUGCGGGUAUCGAACAGGAUUAGAACC
rnacentral:rRNA from 1 species